rnacentral:rRNA from 1 species
CCGGGAGGGACUGCGGAUGACAUUA